rnacentral:lncRNA from 1 species
UACAAUAGGGAGGAGCUCAUCUCCACUCACCUCUCAGCACUCUCUAAUCUCUCACAUCUCACUGUCUAUCUCUCAGAUCUCACAGGUACCAAUUUAGCCCACUCUCUGGCCCGCUCUCUCUGUGCUCUCGGUUCUCUCACUAGCACACUAGCACUCCCCCCAAACCCAACUCUCUCCCAUCCCCUCUCUGCACACCGCAACACGCUGUGUGUCCGGAUCCCCAAGGAUUACAUCUUGCCUCUCCUUUUCCCCUGAUCUGGAAAUCCUUCUGAUUAUAAGCAUAGGAGAAGAGGAUAUGAGCUCAUGGCUGAGCUCAUACAUGCCUCCAUUUGAGACUUCUGGUGCAUCUUUCCUUGACAGUAGCUGUCAACAGCUUCUCCUCUCUCUUCUCUCCAACUUGCUGCGGCAGCAAAUGAAGACCUCUUCUCUUCGUCGCUCUUCGUCUCUUUCCCAAUUUCAUUUUCCCUAAAUAUAAAUUCCACUAUUCAUAUGGGCUUGGGCUUCAUUUGGGCUUGGGCCAUUGGGCUUGAAUCUUGGGCUUCCUCUAUUGGGCUGGACUUCAACAUCUCCCCCCCCUCCAGUCCAUGGUAGGGUACUCUGCCUACUCUGCAUUCUCAAUUUAUCCAUCCCUGACACACUUCUAGUCUAGCUCCCCCGUAAGAUCUACAAGACAGUAUCCGAGAUACAUUUAACCCUCAAGCCGUGGGCAACUCCACUUCCACUGAAGUGAUCACUUCAAACCUGAAUUGCCUUGCACCUUCUCACCUAGUUCUCUGCUCCCUCCCACCGGGUGCGCUGGCAAGUACGUCGCUUUGCAAGUCGUCGUGUAUUCAUCUCUCCUCCCUUGUGGCACAACUGGAGAGAUCCACCUCACUUAUCUUGAGGAAAGAGAUUCGUUCCGCGCGACGCAAGCUGUCCGCUGUCAUCUACUCUCUCUCUCUCCUCUGCUUCUUCAUGGACAUCCUUCACUGGUGCACCUUCUCGUGUCGGCCAGACUUCCGCAUCGUAGCCCAAAGCAUCUCCUUGCGCUCAUGUUCCACUGUGGAUCCUUCAAGUACAUCCAUCAGGUACUCCUGCACUUGCUUUGCUUCCUCUGUACAAACGGUUCUUUCCCUCGUCCAUUCUUGCUAAUACCACUGGACCUAUGUCGGACACACUCUUCCUGUCUGGGACAUUCUCCCUCCAGUCGGUAUAAGCCUUCCAGUCUUCCUUCUCCUGCAGCGUCUCCUGUUCCCGUGAAAACUCUGAGUGUUCCUCCACUAUCUUCAAAGCUUCAUCGCUUCGAUUCCGCACAUCUCAAUAAUCAUGCCUUACCCCGGUCACCUUCAAUGGAUCUUCCGUCUUGCGGACCCGCGUCCACUUUUCCAAACAAUCGCAUCGUUAGCCAUCCGAACGUCCGCUCGCAUGCUACAUGUGUAGAGACAACUCUGUCUCUGCCGAGUGGUGAGCAAUUUUCUGAAUCAGAAAUCCAGUCUGACUCUUCAUCUGCGAUGUCUGCUAGUCACGUCUCCUCUACAGCCAGCAUUGCUGUUGUUUCUUAACGCCUCUGAGACUGAUCUGGUGCUUGUUCCUUGGACAAUUCUUCUUGUCCCUCCUGGUCGCAAUAAAGCCUUAAAGUGCGACCCUCUGGAUUCUUCUUCUGCCUCUGUCCGUCUUCAUCUGCCGAUCUCUCUUCCUUGACCUUCUCUCGUAGCCUCUUCGCUUGACUCUGUGACCUCUCCCUGAAACUCUUCUCUGGAACUCGCUCAUUUGUUCCUACCACCAUAGUCCCUCUCUCCGAAGCUUCUACCAAGCCUUCUCAAUAGACUUUGUUCGGAGAUGUAUUCUCCCUGUACAUCUUCUUCUUCUCCAAUUUUGGUCCACUUCCCAUGAGCACUCGUCUCAUCGUGCGACAUUUUGGAACCUCCGGUGUUCAAUGCAUUUCAGAUCUGCAACACUCUCUCAUUGCUACAUGAUGGAAACAACCCUCGUGUUCAAUUCAAUUGUCUGAUAUGCCCCAAUCAUCUUCCUGUUCAUCUCAUUCCUCAUCCUUGGUUUUCUGGGCGUAAUCCGCAUCUGAAAGCUUGAUCAUUGCCUCUCAAAUUACUCGCCUUUUUACUUUUCUCCAACAUGGAAGCAAAAUCCUUCCGAAACCGACCUUGCGGAUGAAUGUCCGAAUGCCGAAAACUCAGACAUGGCUUUUCUGCAAAAAUCAGACACUUCUGGGACCCCCAAUUGAUCAAAUCAUAACUUCUCAGGACUAAUUUGAAAUUUUUCAAUUUUCCAGGACCCUAAUUUGCAUUUUCCCAAAAUCCAGGGACUAACUGCAAUUUCCUUCCAAACUUCAGGGCCACAUUGAAAUAUCAAAAAGUUCAGGGACUAAAGUGUAAUUUUCACUUUUUGGGUCACGGCUGGUCACGGUCAACGUGGACCAUCCCACGGCAGCGGCGGCGGUCAACUGGUCAGACGGCUCGGCUGUUCAGCGCGGCCGAACAGUCACGGCCUGGAUUGACCAUUCACG